rnacentral:rRNA from 1 species
UCCCAGUUCGGAUUGUAGUCUGCAACCCGACUACAUGAAGCUGGAAUCGCUAGUAAUCGCGGAUCAGAAUGCCGCGGUGAAUACGUUCCCGGGUCUUGUACACACCGCCCGUCACACCAUGGGAGUCGGAAAUGCCCGAAGUCUGUGACCCAACCUAAAGGAGGGAGCAGCCGAAGGCAGGUCGGAUGACUGGGGUGAAGUCGUAACAAGGUAAC